UACGUAGGGUGCAAGCGUUUAAUCGGAAUUACUGGGCGUAAAGCGUGCGUAGGCGGCUAUGUAAGACAGAUGUGAAAUCCCUGGGCUUAACCUAGGAACUGCAUUUGUGACUGCAUUGCUAGAGUGUGGUAGAGGGAGAUGGAAUUCCGCGUGUAGCAGUGAAAUGCGUAGAUAUGCGGAGGAACACCAAUGGCGAAGGCAAUCUCCUGGACCUGCACUGACGCUCAUGCACGAAAGCGUGGGGAGCAAACAGG
rnacentral:rRNA from 1 species